rnacentral:rRNA from 1 species
CCUACGGGUGGCAGCAGUGGGGAAUAUUGGACAAUGGGGGCAACCCUGAUCCAGCCAUGCCGCGUGUGUGAAGAAGGCCCUCGGGUUGUAAAGCACUUUCAGUGAGGAAGAACGCCUGGUGGUUAAUACCCAUCAGGAAAGACAUCACUCACAGAAGAAGCACCGGCUAACUCCGUGCCAGCAGCCGCGGUAAUACGGAGGGUGCGAGCGUUAAUCGGAAUUACUGGGCGUAAAGCGCGCGUAGGUGGCUUGAUAAGCCGGUUGUGAAAGCCCCGGGCUCAACCUGGGAACGGCAUCCGGAACUGUCAAGCUAGAGUGCAGGUGAGGAAGGUAGAAUUCCCGGUGUAGCGGUGAAAUGCGUAGAGAUCGGGAGGAAUACCAGUGGCGAAGGCGGCCUUCUGGACUGACACUGACACUGAGGUGCGAAAGCGUGGGUAGCAAACAGGAUUAGAUACCCUUGUAGUC